AUUGAAGAGAAGAAGAUGGCUCCCGUGAACUCCGCUGGACAGAAUCUGCAAUGAGGGGAAUGAGUGGGCUACAGCUGAACUAAUGGCUUUCCUCUAUGGAAGGAACACAACAUUCUUCAUGCCUGCAGCAGUUUUGGCAUCACUAAGCCUGCUGACUGGUUGAAUUCCUUCCCAGUGACCUGCAGGUGUCUAUAUAACAAGCUGGAGCUGAUUGGCAAAUCUUUGUCCCGGUCUCUACAACAACUGCCUGCUGAUUGGCUGAACAUUUCUCUAGCCAGUACUUCCUUGAAAUCAGAGGCCCUGUGACAGUUGGGAGUUUUUUUGCCUUGAGAAAAACAGCAGCAGCUUCUUCCUUCUCUAAUAAAUGCCUUUUGGUGUUAAAAUGA